CCUACGGGAGGCAGCAGUGAGGAAUAUUGGUCAAUGGCCGGAAGGCUGAACCAGCCAAGCCGCGUGAAGGACGAAGGUGCCAAGCAUUGUAAACUUCUUUUGUCAAGGGACAAAAUCAGGCUCGAGAGCCUGACCGAGUGUACUUGAAGAAAAAGCAUCGGCUAACUCCGUGCCAGCAGCCGCGGUAAUACGGAGGAUGCGAGGGUUAUCCUGAUUUAUUGGGUUUAAGGGGUGCUUAGGGGGGCUGUUAAGUCAGCGGUAAAAGCCCGGGGCUCAAACCCAGCGAGCCGUUGAAACUGGCUGUCUUGAGAUGUCGAGAGGUAUGCGGAAUGCGCAGUGUAGCGGUGAAAUGCUUAG
rnacentral:rRNA from 1 species